GACGAACGCUGGCGGCGUGCCUAAUACAUGCAAGUAGAACGCUGAAGGAGGAGCUUGCUUCUCUGGAUGAGUUGCGAACGGGUGAGUAACGCGUAGGUAACCUGCCUGGUAGCGGGGGAGAACGAUUGGAAACGAUAGCUAAGACCGCAUAAUAGUAUAUGUUGCAUGACAUUUGCGUAAAAGGUGCAAUUGCAUCACUACCAGAUGGAGCUGCGUUGUAUUAGCUAGUUGGUGGGGUAACGGCUCACCAAGGCGACGAGACAUAACCGACCUGAGAGGGGGAUCGGCCACACUGGGACUGGGACACGGCCCAGACUCCUACGGGAGGCAGCAGUGGGGAAUCUUCGGCAAUGGACGGAAGUCUGACCGAGCAACGCCGCGUGAGUGAAGAAGGUUUUCGGAUCGUAAAGCUCUGUUGUAAGAGAAGAACGAGUGUGAGAGUGGAAAGUUCACACUGUGACGGUAUCUUACCAGAAAGGGACGGCUAACUACGUG
rnacentral:rRNA from 1 species